rnacentral:rRNA from 1 species
GACGAACGCUGGCGGCGUGCUUAACACAUGCAAGUCGAACGGAAAGGCCCUGCUUUUGUGGGGUGCUCGAGUGGCGAACGGGUGAGUAACACGUGAGUAACCUGCCCUUGACUUUGGGAUAACUUCAGGAAACUGGGGCUAAUACCGGAUAGGAGCUCCUGCUGCAUGGUGGGGGUUGGAAAGUUUCGGCGGUUGGGGAUGGACUCGCGGCUUAUCAGCUUGUUGGUGGGGUAGUGGCUUACCAAGGCUUUGACGGGUAGCCGGCCUGAGAGGGUGACCGGCCACAUUGGGACUGAGAUACGGCCCAGACUCCUACGGGAGGCAGCAGUGGGGAAUAUUGCACAAUGGGCGGAAGCCUGAUGCAGCAACGCCGCGUGCGGGAUGACGGCCUUCGGGUUGUAAACCGCUUUCGCCUGUGACGAAGCGUGAGUGACGGUAAUGGGUAAAGAAGCACCGGCUAACUACGUGCCAGCAGCCGCGGUGAUACGUAGGGUGCGAGCGUUGUCCGGAUUUAUUGGGCGUAAAGGGCUCGUAGGUGGUUGAUCGCGUCGGAAGUGUAAUCUUGGGGCUUAACCCUGAGCGUGCUUUCGAUACGGGUUGACUUGAGGAAGGUAGGGGAGAAUGGAAUUCCUGGUGGAGCGGUGGAAUGCGCAGAUAUCAGGAGGAACACCAGUGGCGAAGGCGGUUCUCUGGGCCUUUCCUGACGCUGAGGAGCGAAAGCGUGGGGAGCGAACAGGCUUAGAUACCCUGGUAGUCCACGCUGUAAACGGUGGGUACUAGGUGUGGGGUCCAUUCCACGGGUUCCGUGCCGUAGCUAACGCUUUAAGUACCCCGCCUGGGGAGUACGGCCGCAAGGCUAAAACUCAAAGGAAUUGACGGGGCCCCGCACAAGCGGCGGAGCAUGCGGAUUAAUUCGAUGCAACGCGUAGAACCUUACCUGGGUUUGACAUGGAUCGGGAGUGCUCAGAGAUGGGUGUGCCUCUUUUGGGGUCGGUUCACAGGUGGUGCAUGGCUGUCGUCAGCUCGUGUCGUGAGAUGCUGGGUUAAGUCCCGCAACGAGCGCAACCCUUGUUCACUGUUGCCAGCACGUUAUGGCGGGGACUCAGUGGAGACCGCCGGGGUCAACUCGGAGGAAGGUGGGGAUGACGUCAAGCCAUCAUGCCCCUUAUGUCCAGGGCUUCACGCAUGCUACAAUGGCUGGUACAGAGAGUGGCGAGCCUGUGAGGGUGAGCGAAUCUCGGAAAGCCGGUCUCAGUUCGGAUUGGGGUCUGCAACUCGACCUCAUGAAGUCGGAGUCGCUAGUAAUCGCAGAUCAGCAACGCUGCGGUGAAUUCGUUCCCGGG